GCUGAUGUGUGUGAUGACUGACCUUUUUUCCCCAUCAGAUCGACCCUGUUGAUUUGUGAAACAAUUAAGCCAAUUUUGUCUGAUACAUCAGC